GGGAGCAUAGCUCAGAUGAUAGAGCACUCGCUUAGCAUGCGAGAGGUACGGGGAUCGAUACUCCGCGCCUCCA
rnacentral:tRNA from 1 species